rnacentral:rRNA from 1 species
AUUGAACGCUGGCGGCAGGCCUAACACAUGCAAGUCGAGCGAGCGGCGGACGGGUGAGUAAUGUAUGGGGACUGCCCGAUAGAGGGGGAUAACUACUGGAAACGGUGGCUAAUACCGAAUACUAUCGGAUAACCCAUAUGGGAUUAGCUAGUAGGUGGGGUAAAGGCUCCCCUGGGAGACGAUCUCUAGCGGGUCUGAAAGGAUGAUCGGCCACACGGGGACUGAGCAACGGCCCAGACUCCUACGGGGGCAGCAGUGGGGAAGAUUGCACAAUGGGCGCAAGCCGGAUGCAGCCAUGCCGCGUGUAUGAAGAAGGCCUUAGGGUUGUAAAGUGCUUUCAGCGGGGAGGCGUUACCCGCAGAAGAAGCACCGGCUAACUCCGUGCCAGCAGCCGCGGUAAUAC